CUGAAAAUACUCAUCAUCACUGGUGUGGCCAAGCACCCACAUGCUAGUCGAUCAAGAUGUGGGUUGACGGAAUAACGGGCAACAAUCUCCUCCCUAACUUCAUUUUUAAAAAUUAGCAGUGACCUUCUCCCCUACUGCCAAUGACAGAACAUAACAGCACCACAAAGAAGAUAAGUCUGGGGCUACUGAUGCAGGGGACCCACCUCUUCAGGUGGGAAGCCUCCUAGGUAUGUCAGGAUCAUGAAGAUGGUGACCCGGUUUCUCCAGGUUGCAAACUACACACACACGCACCACUGCCCUGAAGACAGCAGCAACAAGAAAAGCCAUCGUCACCACUCAGAAAACUGCAGAGGAGGCAGGAGCCGCGGAGAAAGGGGACUGAGCGGGGCCUUAGGAAGGCUGAUUCCAGCUUCCCUGGAGAUCAGCUCUGGACCUCUGUUUGCUCAGAGGACUUUUGUGAGGAUCCAAUGAUGGACAGCAGGUGCAGCUAUAACUAAUAAGAAAAACAUUGACUUUGAUUUAUUUUGUGUGUGCGUGAGGAAGAUUCGCCCUGAGCUAACAUCUGUGCCAAUCUUCCUCUUUUUUUUGCUUGAGGACGAUUAGCCCUGAGCUAACAUCUGUGCCAAUCUUCCUCUACUUAGUAUGUGGGAUGCCACCACCGCAUGGCUGAUGAGUGGAGCAGGUCCAGGCCCAGGAUCCAAACCCGCAAACCCCGGGCCGCCAAAGCAGAGUGCGCGGAACUUUAACCACUCGGCCAUGGGGCUGGCCCUAUUUUGAUUUUUUUAUUACAAGUGUAAUACGUGUUUAUUGUGGAAAGUUUUAAACAGAAAAGCAUAAGGGGAAAAAUGGAAAUUACCCAAAUAUCACAACUGUUGACAUCUUGCUGGUUAAUCGGCCAUAUUUUCUGCUAGGUAAAUGCAUACACAUAUUACAGUACAAGGCCUUCUGUAUGCAUUUAUUAGGAAUGUGCCCAAAUAUAUUACGUGGCCCUCAUCUCAUGCUCAUCCUCUCCAUUCUUCCUUUCCAGCUUACCUUUUGGUCCCUCCAAACACGCCCCACCUUCAGGAUUUUGUAUGUGCACGCCCUCUUCCUAGAACGCUCUUUCUCUCUCCGCUGUUUCUUCUUCUGGCUACUCCUACUUAUCCUUGAGGUCUCAGUUUAUUCAUCACCUCCUUAGAGAACAAUUCUCUGACUGCUACCUUUGUCACCAGCCCCUUUGUGAGCACCCAGAACAUCCUGUUCUUCUUCCUCAUAGCAUUAUCAUACUGGACUAGUCUUGCCUCUUUGUUAUCUUGUUUUCCUUGCUGUACUCCAACUCAUGGGCAGGUACUGUAGCUUUUGCUCAUCAGCAUUUACCAGUGGCCGGCCCAUAGCAAAUGGUCAAAAAUUGUUGAAUAAAUGAACAAAAUAUUUAACAAUAUGUGUUACCUAUAUUUCUUUUGAAAUCCCCAAAGUAUAUGUCAUUUCUCAAUAAAUAUCCACUGAAAUGUUAAAUAUAGAAAAAGGUACAAGACAUGGCAACAUGUCUCACGAAGUUUAUAAAUUAGACAGGAGAAAACAUUAGCAACAGGAAGCCUCAGGAUGCCACUCAGGGCUAAGUUGUCUGCUCCUGCCUCCUCUCUGAGUUCUCUUAAGACUGGAAAGGGCAGUACACAAUCCCUAACUUCAGUUGCAUAUUUUUCCUCUCAUUGAGGAUAUCCUGUAGUACCAGUUGGAAUAAGAAGACCCUAGCAGCUUCACAUUUAUACUCCAAAAUCUUGGUGCUUCGACACAAUAAAGUUGAUUUCUCACUCAGGCAAAGUCCAAUGCGACUGUUCCUGCUUGGCGGGCAAUCUUCCAUGCGGUCAUUCAGAAAUCCAGCUCCUUCCAUCUACGGCUCUGACCUUCUCUACGUCCCGUCCCUGAUAUUUAACCAGGAGAUGGGAAGAGAGAGUUUUAUGAGCCAGGCUUGUAAGUAGCACACACUACAUUCAUCCUCUUUUCAUUGGCUAAAACCCAGCCACAUGGCCACACUUAAUUACAAAGGAGGCUGGGAAAUGUAGUUUAUCUGCAUGCACAGGAGGAAAAGGAAAAAGAGUUUGGUGAACACUGAAGUUCUUCUGCCACAAAUGGCAAGGGAGUAUCUAGUCUUAAGUGAUCUCAAGUACCAGUAAUUUUGAUUUAUGGAUAGUGAAAACACUUGUUUUGGUAGAAGAAGGUCCUUCUAACUUAACACUGGACAUAAGAAAAUAUCAUCCCAGGUUUUCAAAUUUUGAGAGUAAAAAAAGGGUCAACGCCAGACUUGAGAAACCACCAAUAUUGGUGACCAUUCCCCGACAUAUUCUAAAAGAGAAUAUCUAAAGAUGGCUUUUAUGAACUUUGAAAAUAAAAUGAUGAUUGCAAGUUACUAUGGGCUCACUAGGAAUUAUCAUAAACUAACCCAGCAUGCUGUCUGGCACAGAGUAGACAAUAACGAUGUAUUGAACAGAUGAACUUCAAAUCUACUUUUAAGGCAACUAUCCCAUUGAUAAAUGACUGUAACUUCAGAAAGUUCUGCCUUAAAUACAGCAGUUUGCCUCUCUAACUUCUAACCAUUACCCUCACUCUGACCUCAAAACCUACAGAAUAAGUCAACUCUCCCAGGUGACAGUUGCACAACUAUUUGGAGACUUCCGUAUGUGCUCUCAUGGUCUUUUAUUUUCCCCCCUGGGUAAAUAUUCCCAGGGCCUUCAAUUCCUCUCUGUGGGACAGAGUGUCAAGCUUCUCACCACUUGGCCGACCUUCUCUGAGAUCUCUCUGCUUGGUCGAAGUUGCUCUCCACAGUUUCAGGUCCACAAUGUUCCCAAUGAGCUCCAACCAGCAGCAUUCAGUAGAAUUAUCACUCCCCAGCUCUGAGUAUCAAAAGAAGUAUUUAAACAGUGAAGAUGCUGCCAAAGGGAUCCAGGAUUGGGAAAAGGGCAGGACUUGGAAGACAGCCUCUAAGGACUCUUGCCACUUUAUGACCCCUCAGGUUUUGUGGAAGUGUGAGUGCUGGGAAGACAUUGCCAUAAGGGUGACGGUGUAUACAACAGGUACACAUUCCUCCUUGACAAAAGUCUAGUCCACGCAUACCCUCCAAUAACUCAAUUCACUUGCAUAGUUGUAUUUCAGCUUUCUUCAUUUCUGCCUCUUUACUCCAAUUGUGAUGUGGAUGCACAUAUCCAAGCUGAAACAUGAAAAAAGGGGGAGGGCUGUGGGGGAGAGAAUGGAACAUUCCAAAAUUAGAAACCAGUCCCUAGCAAAUGAGAACUAAUUUUGUGGAGAGUUGAUCCAAGAGAAGGACUGGCACAGGCGCUCUGAUGUACGACAAACAUCUAUUGAGCACUGCCUAUGUGCCAAGCACCACGCUAAAUGCUGUGGGUACGGUGAGUACCAAGAGAUGGUACCAUCCUCCCUCUUGAAGCUUGGCCUCUGGUAGGCAAUUAAAUGAAGAAAUAUGGAAUAACAAAUUAAGACAAGUUCUACUGUUACGAAGAAAUCUCUGUUUCGCUGGCUUCAGGUUUCCACGAGGGGACAUUUGCUAGAGAAACACUUCUUUCUCCAUCCCUUAUUUACUCCCCAUGGGAAGAAGAGUGCAUUACCUGAUUGCUGAGUUCAGGAGAAAGACCCAGCAUGCCCAUCUCAGCCAUUUGCUCUCUCUUCUCAGAUCAAUCUGUCCACAGGAUUUACACACUCGUUGUCCAUGUGGAAGAGGCCUGCAACUGCCCACCUCUGCCAGGGACCAGUGGGUAAAUUUAAUUCAGGGUGAAGUGUUAGGAAAUCCGUGUGGCAUCUAGUCUGCCAUGCCCUCCCAUCUGUCCUACAGUAGCCAUCAAGUUGACAUUUCCAUUCAUCUGACUCUUGUAUGUAACUUUCAGCUGGGUCUGAACUCAAGCGGGAAAGAAAGGGGUGUUAUUUAUCACCCUCCUGAAAUCCCAACAGCUAUAAAGAAAAAACAUAGGGACUUAUGAGAAAGUACAAGAGGGGAAUCUAAUUGAGAUGGGAGGAAGGGUUUGAUGCGAAACAGCCUCUGUAAGUGUCAUUUAAGCUGACAUCCAAAGGAAACAGAAAUUGACCAAGCAACAAGGAAGAGGUGGGAGGAUUCAUAUGAAGGUUCUUAGGCAAGACACAGUUUCUCUUGUUUGAGGAACUGAAGACGUCCAGUGUGGGAGUCACCAGAGCUGGUCACCUAAUUCUUGCAGCUCUCUGCCUUCCAGGCAAAUCGGAUUGUACUUCCUGAACUCCUUGGUCCCGUCUCACGGUGGGGGGGCCAUGAGACUAGUUUAGCCAAUGAACUGUGAGAAGCGACAUGUGACAUUCUCUGGCAAAGGUACUUAAUUGCCUGGCUAAGACCCUUCAAAACUCACUCUCCCUCUUCCACGAGAUCUGUGACGUUCCUGAAAGCCGGUGCUCCAUCAGGCUGCGUCCCAGAGCAAAGCAAUGUGACCAGCGUCCCUGCCAACCCUUGAUGGACACAGAACAGAAGGAAUUAGACUUUUCUGUCUUAAGUCACUGAGAUUUGGAAUUGUUUUUCACUGCAGCAUAACCUGGGCUAUCCUGACUGAACAGUCACAGCUAGCGUGGCUGCAGAAUGGUAAGUCGGGAAGAAGCACUAGAUAUUUCAGCCUGGCAAGGCAGGAGAGGCCAGAUCAUGGGAGAUCUCAGAGGAAAGGUAAAGAAUCUGGGUUUUAUCUCAAAUCCAAUAGGAUGUGCUUAAGGAGGUUCCAGCGGGGGGAGUUUGACACAUUGCAACUUUUGUGUAUUAAAACAAGGUACUGUUGCUAUUUGACUAUUAAAAGGCCCCCUUAAUUCCACUGUAGAAAAGGAUAUUUUUAAAAAAUCCAUCAACAAGCAUUUACUGAGCACCUUCUAUCCUUUCAUGUGCCAGGCAUUCCAUUAAGCAUUGGAGAUACAAAAAUGAAUAAGGCACAGCUCCUGAAUUUGGAGUGAGGGACAUAAGAAGACAUUUACAAGAAUACGUGAUAGACAUGCUCUGCUUCAGCUCAGAGCCGAUCUCGGAGCCGCUCAGUCUUCCUAACCGCACAGGGAAGGAGGUGAGCGCCUGGAGGGGAGAAAAGUGCUCAGGAUCCCGCUAACACGGCUGCUGUCGGGCUGUCGACUCUCCACUCUCAAAGCCACAAACACUUUCAGGCUCGCGGUUACAAGUCCAAGGUGGAUCCCCCAAGUUCUGAAGCAGAAAAGCAGCGUGAGAACCUAGGAAGGUAAGCCGCUGCAGGUCCAGCGCCAAGCCCCAGCCCUCCAAGGAGGCCCAGCCAAGAGCUGACGCCCACCCGCUCCUCCCCCGGGAGUCGGGACGCCUGGUCCUGCCAAAGCACAGCCGCACAGCCUGGCACUGCACUGGGGCCCUGGGAAACUCCGAGGGGGCAGGGGAGGGGGCCGCCCCGGACCACCGCCCAGCCCCGGAGGCGGCGAUGCUACUAGCUCAGCGCGGGGACGCGGGUCUCGCCGGCCCCCGCAGAGAGGCCCCGAAGCUCCGGGAAGCUCGGGACUCGCUGCCGUCACCCCGCGGCGGCGCGGGCCGCACCGAACCCACGACUGCCGCCUCGGGACUCUCCGCCACGCACUUCUGGCCCCAGAGGCGCGGGGGCGGCGGCGUCGGAGCGGCCGCCAGCAUGGGUCUAGCGCUUCCUAGAGGCCGCAGGACGCGGGCCCGCCGCCGGCCGGCGCCCACCUUCCCCGGCCCCGGCCCGGCCCAGCCCGGCCCGGCGGGGCUGCGGCGGCCCUCUCGGAGCCGUCUUCCCGGAAGCGGAUCGGGGCGGGAGCGGGGCGCGUGUGAGUGUGAGCGAAUGUGAGCGAGCGUGAGCGCGCGGCGGCGGGAGCGGGCGCGCCCGGGUUCUCCGAGUGUCGGAUUCCCUGAGCGCCCCGCCGGGGCGGCGGCCGCCCGCGAGCUCGGCAGGGACAGGCGCCCGCGCGCCUCCACGCGGCCCGCCCGAGCGGGAGCCGCCCCGCGCCCACCCGGGGCCGCGAGCCCUGAGGCCGCUCCCGCCGGAAGCGGGGGCCGGCCCGCGCGGCCCGGGAGCAGUGCCGUCCGCCGCGCAGCAGCCCGCCCCAAGCCCGCCUGCCCGAGGCCGCGGGCGCCGUCCCCCGUCAAACCCCACGACGUCAGCCCACAAUGCACCGGGCCGGCCGGAGCCACGCGCGGGGGGGGCGUCCCGCGGGGGGGAGGGGAAAGAAGGGCCCGACUGUGGGAGGGCAGCGGAGCAUUACCUCAUCCCGUGAGCCUCCGCGGGCCCAGAGAAGAAUCUUCUAGGGUGGGGUCUCCAUGGCGACGGGCGGGCCCGCCCCCCUGAGAGCGACGCGAGCCAAUGGGAAGGCCUUGGGGUGACAUCAUGGGCUAUUUUUAGGGGUUGACUGGUAGCAGAUAAGUGUUGAGCUCGGGCUGGUGAAGGGCUCAGAGUUGCGCUGAGUGGCUGGAGCGGCGAGGCGCGGGCGGCGUGCGCGGACUCGGCGAGGCGGGCGGGCGGGCAGGACGGCGGCGGAGUCGGCCCCGCGCGCCUCGCCUUCGUUCCCAUCUCCUCGCCGGCCGCCCGGAGCUAGCGCCUGUGGCUCCCGGGCUGGUGUUUUGGGGAGCGCCCGGAGAGCCCCUUCUCCAGCCGCCCCCGGGAGGGGAGCCCCGCCGCCCGGGCGCUGCUGUGACAGAGCGGCGACUGUCGCCGGGAAGUCCGGAGAGCGGCUGCAGCGGCAGAGAACUUUCCUGACCAGGAGGACAGGGGACGAGGGGCCCCGGGUCUCGGAGCGAACUUUUGCAAAGCUUCCCUCCGCCGGAGCCGCGGCGGCGGCGGUCACGAACGGCGGGCGCGGGGAGGAGCGAGGAGAGGCGCGCUCCGCUCCGCGCGCACCGGCUGCUGAGCUUGGGCG
rnacentral:lncRNA from 1 species